UACGGAGGGUGCAAGCGUUAUCCGGAUUCACUGGGUUUAAAGGGUGCGUAGGCGGGUAUGUAAGUCCGUGGUGAAAUCUCCGAGCUUAACUCGGAAACUGCCAUGGGUACUGCGUAUCUUGAAUGUUGUGGAGGUGAGCGGAAUAUGUCAUGUAGCGGUGAAAUGCUUAGAUAUGACAUAGAACACCAAUUGCGAAGGCAGCUCACUACACAAAUAUUGACGCUGAGGCACGAAAGCGUGGGGAUCAAACAGG
rnacentral:ncRNA from 4 species